rnacentral:rRNA from 1 species
GACGAACGCUGGCGGCGUGCUUAACACAUGCAAGUCGAACGGAAAGGCCCUGCUUUUGUGGGGUGCUCGAGUGGCGAAAGGGUGAGUAACACGUGAGUAACCUGCCCUUGACUUUGGGAUAACUUCAGGAAACUGGGGCAAAUACCGGAUAGGAGCUCCUGCUGCAUGGUGGGGGUUGGAAAGUUUCGGCGGUUGGGGAUGGACUCGCGGCUUAUCAGCUUGUUGGUGGGGUAGUGGCUUACCAAGGCUUUGACGGGUAGCCGGCCUGAGAGGGUGACCGGCCACAUUGGGACUGAGAUACGGCCCAGACUCCUACGGGAGGCAGCAGUGGGGAAUAUUGCACAAUGGGCGGAAGCCUGAUGCAGCAACGCCGCGUGCGGGAUGACGGCCUUCGGGUUGUAAACCGCUUUCGCCUGUGACGAAGCGUGAGUGACGGUAAUGGGUAAAGAAGCACCGGCUAACUACGUG